GAUAUAUUUUCCUAAAACCAGCUUGGACGGGUUGUAUAUCAUAUGAUGUGGACUUCUUUUGUAAAACUACAUAAAGUACAUACUCACUCUGUAUUUCAGAUACCAGAAGUGAAUUUGUGAUUAUUUUUGUCAAAAUGGCAGAUGGACAAAUUGUUCUGUCAAUAAAACAAAAUUAACAAUAGGAAUUUUAGAAAUUCUGGAUUCAAAAUAGUAAAUUAAAAAUGAAACCUAUAGGAAGCACAGAAUCAUUUUUUUUUACUUAAUAUUUUUUGUUUGCUUUCAGUCGCAAAUAUGUCAUUAUUUAAGUACAAAUUGGUUAUAAUCCAUAUGGGUGUAUAAUUCUGUAGGGAAUUGGCCCGAAAAAAGGACAGACACUUACAAUUGAAAUGAAGAUAUUUUGGAUAAGGACAGAAAAUUCCGCCUGCAGAACAGCCAUAAAUAAAAAUAAAAAAAUGUAGAGUUCUUAACGUGAAGAAAGUAUCGCAUUUUAUUCACGUAU
rnacentral:lncRNA from 1 species